rfam:Melampsora larici-populina 98AG31 unplaced genomic scaffold MELLAscaffold_20, whole genome shotgun sequence.
AUCUGGGGCCAUACCACAAUGAACUUACCGCAUCCCGUCCGAUCUGCGCAGUCAAACAUUGUAGGGCCGAGUCAGUAGUGCGGUGGGGGACCAAAUAUUAGACUAUUGUAUUUAAUUAU